UCAUCAACCGUCUCUGAGCCCUAGCGUCUACCUUUAUUCACCCUCAGAGAAAACAACUGGAGCUUCGAGGAUCACUUUGAGCACAAAUUCAGCGUGAUCAGGCUGAUCAAGACCCUUCAACAAGGAGUGCAUAACUAAAGUCAAGGGGUUUCCUAACGUCCGGUUCCUCUUGGUCUCCAUACUUUUUCAGGUCAUUAGAUUUCAUCACACAGAUUUUCCUCUCCUGAAGAAGGCCUAAGGUCUGUCUGAGGG